UUUGUGUGUGUGCUUGUGUGUGUGUGUGUGUAGACACACACACACACACACACACACAUGUAUA
rnacentral:miRNA from 1 species